rnacentral:rRNA from 1 species
AGGCAUGUGCACGCCCUGCUCAUCCACUCUACACCUGUGCACUUACUGUAGGUUGGCGUGGGCCUCGCAGCUUCCGGGCUCGAGGCAUUCUGCCGGCCUAUGUAACACUACAAACGCUUAUAGUAUCAGAAUGUAAUCGCGUCUAACGCAUCUUAAUACAACUUUCAGCAACGGAUCUCUUGGCUCUCGCAUCGAUGAAGAACGCAGCGAAAUGCGAUAAGUAAUGUGAAUUGCAGAAUUCAGUGAAUCAUCGAAUCUUUGAACGCACCUUGCGCUCCUUGGUAUUCCGAGGAGCAUGCCUGUUUGAGUGUCAUGGAACUCUCAACCCAUAAAUCCUUGCGGUUUAAUGGGCUUGGAAUUGGAGGCUUGCCGGCUGCUACAGUCCAGUCGGCUCCUCUUGAAUGCAUUAGCUUGAUUCCGUGCGGAUCGGCUCUCAGUGUGAUAAUUGUCUACGCUGUGACCGUGAAGCGUUUGGCGAGCUUCUAACCGUCCUUGUAGGACAAUUGACUUGACAUCUGACCUCAAAUCAGGUAG